GGGAAGGUCUGAGAGAAGGGCCAAGUUUGCCACCCUAGCAGGGUGCCACCUUCUGAAGGUGGGUGAGUUCCCAGCAAAAGCAGCACCAUUAUAAUUUAGUGGCUUUGAUACAUUUCUCUAUGGUGCCCUUUAUCCAGAAUGAGGUUGGAGGAUUAAAAGAUUCCAAACCAAUACAG
rnacentral:lncRNA from 1 species